rnacentral:lncRNA from 1 species
GGAAUCUUAAUAAAAAGAAUUAGUUCAUGACAGAAAUAAAAACCACAAAUAAUUGAUAAAUCAUCCUUAAUGAGUUACACAAUUUUUAAAAGAAUAAAGAAGAAGAAGAAGAACUCCAAGCUGAAAGCCUUCAGAUCUGCUCUUGCUCCUUUGAUCAAUCCCCAAUUGUGUAGAAUAGCCCCAAUUCAAUGUAAAGAAUCAAUUUAUAUUUUUCUGCCCAAUUCCAA